rnacentral:rRNA from 1 species
GAUGAACGCUAGCGGCAGGCUUAACACAUGCAAGUCGAGGGGCAACACGGGUAGCAAUACCUGGUGGCGACCGGCGCAAGGGUGCGUAACGCGUGAGCAACAUGCCCUAUACAGGGGGAUAAUCCAGGGAAACUUGGUCUAAUAUCCCAUAGUAUUUAGAGGUGGCAUCACCACUAAAUUAAAGCUUCGGUGGUAUAGGAUUGGCUCGCGUGACAUUAGCUGGAUGGUGGGGUAACGGCUCACCAUGGCGAUGAUGUCUAGGGGUUCUGAGAGGAAGACCCCCCACACUGGGACUGAGACACGGCCCAGACUCCUACGGGAGGCAGCAGUGAGGAAUAUUGGACAAUGGAUGGAAAUCUGAUCCAGCCAUGCCGCGUGCAGGAAGACGGCCCUAUGGGUUGUAAACUGCUUUUAUAGUGGGGAGCAAAUUAAGGUUUACGCGUAGACCGAUGAGAGUACCAUAUGAAUAAGCAUCGGCUAACUCCGUG